CGGCCGAAGGAGAUGCAGCCUGCGUGGGACGAGGUUGGACGCAGUGAACCGGCCCGGCGAAAUGACCCACGGGGGCACCAAGCACGGCGAGGACCAGCCUCCUCCUCUUUCUCUUUGACCUCAAUCAAUGACGCUCUCUACCAUACACCGUGGCCUUUGGCAUUGGCUGGCUUCGUGGAACAUUUUUCACUGGAAAACAUCCAAAUCCAAUGUCGAGAAGCUUGGCGUUGACAAGAUCUGAAGCUCUGCACCAGACUCUCAAGCACUAAAGCAGAACGCAACCACCUUGGCCAUUCCUCCGGUGUGCAUGAUUUGACGCUCUCUACCCUACAUGUACAU